AAGGAAAAAAAAAAAAAAAAAAAGAAAAAAGAAAAAAGGAAGCGGCGGCUCGUUGGUCUAGGGGUAUGAUUCUCGCUUUGGGUGCGAGAGGUCCCGGGUUCAAAUCCCGGACGAGCCCCCUUUUCCUUCUCUUUUUUCCCAUUUCGCAUUUUCAGCAAGGACAGGAGACUAGGAAGGCGGAGGGAGGCUGCUAUUGGCAGGGCCUCAGUGGAGACCUCCCGGGGUCCCGGGACGCAGACGGACGGGCCUGAAUCGCUCGCCUUGGUGAAAUGGGAUCCAGCGCUGCCAACUGCGGCAACUGCGGUUAAAGGAGACGACCCCGUGCAGCAGGAGGAGGUUAUUUAGAAUAAGGAAGAAUGCGCCGGGCUCAUUGGUCGCUACAGGGGCAUAAAUUUUUUCUAGGAUUCCAGAGUAUGGCUGCUCCAGUCCCAGAUUCGGCUCGACUUACAGACCUCAGCGCAGGACGUGGACGCCCUGCAAAGGUAAUUAUUUCAGCGGACGGCAGAGAAUACAGAUUUAUGCCAGCGCCCUGCGGAAGGAGCCUCUGGCGGGUCAUCUCCAUUUAUGGGAGAUCGCAGAGCGGCUGGAAUGCAGUGGAGCGAUCUCGGCUCACUGCAGCCUCCGCCUCCCAGGUUCAAGCGAUUUUCCUGUCUCAGCCUUCCGAGUAGUUGGAGGAGCCACCACACCCGGCUAAUUUUUGUAUUUUUAGUAGAGACGGGGUUUCGCCAUGUUGGCCAGGCUGGCCUCGAACUCCUGACCUCAAGUGAUCCACCGCCUUGGCCUCCCAAAGUGCUGAGAUUACUGGCGCGAGCCUCCACGCCCGGCCCCUGCAGGAUCUUUUGUCAUGCCCUGGACCCCAGGAGGACCUGACCUUUAUUAAACACAGUGGGGCUGUCAAGGGCCUCGCGUCAAGGCUCAGCGCUUCACCGACGCACCCAGCCCGAGACCCUCCGUUGCUCUCUGACUCCGAAGGAAAAUCUAGUUCCUUCGGGCGCCUGGGACUCCUUUCUGGAGGAUCAGACGAGUCGGGCUCCGCGAAGCCCAUGCGGGCUGGAGGAUCGGAAACCACGCGGGAGAGGAUAGCGCCGGUGGCGCGAGGACGCAGACUGCAGAGCUCUACGGGGAAUGGGAGUUUUCUCUCGUUCACUAUGGCGUCCCCGGCGACCCGAAUGGAGGCUGCUGCGUUGCAAGAACUGGGCUAAGACUAUUUUUUUUGAGACAGGAUCUCACUCCCGUCGCCCAGGCUGGAGUGCAGUGGCGCCAUCUCGGCUCCCUGCAGCCUCCACUUCCUAGGCUCAAGCGAUCCUCCAGCCUCAGCCUCCCAAGUAGAUGGGACUACAGGCGAGCGCAACCACAACCGGCUAAUUUUAAAAUUUUUGUAGAGACGGGGUCUCGCUAUGUUGCUCAAGCUGGCAUACUUCCUUGAAUAAAUGCCCAAACCAAUUCUAGGGUCAUUUUCUAGCCACCCGCGAUAAGUUAUUCUGUCUUUUAAUAUUCUCAGUAGGGCACGUGGUAACUGCCCCAGUGGCCUGAUGGAUAAGGUACUGGCCUCCUAAGCCAGGGAUUGUGGGUUCGAGUUCCACCUGGGGUAAGACAACACCGACCGUAGGUGACUUGGGGUAAGGUAUCACGCCUUUUAAAAAGGACAAAGCAUGGAGACACAUAAGUAGAAAAACUUUGCAAGAAUAAGAAGAAACGGCAUGAAUUUGGAAGAAAAACAGGGCAUUAAACAAGACACACAAUCUCCUCUCUCUCUAGGAUGAGAAGAGUGAAGAUUUUACUUACCUCUCUCCACAUCAAAGGGACAAGAAAAAGCAAUGUACAGCUUUUGUAUAUAUCAAAGUGGGAAAAUGUUGGAGGCUGGUUUUCUGUUUUGGUUUGUUUGUUUGGUUUGGUUUGUCUUUCUGUUUUAGAA
rnacentral:tRNA from 1 species